ACUCAAAUUUCUUAACUCAUUUAAUUAUCUUGAGACAAAAGCCAUUGAAAAGCAAUUGAAGGUGUUUGCUUAGAUUAGAUAACCAAACUCAGAAAUCUCAGAAAAAUGGAGUGCUAACCAUGUUACAUCGGUAUUGGUUGAUAGAUCCUU